UCAACCUAAAGAGUCUCAAAUUUACGGCUCCAACCGGAACCCCUUCCAAUCAGUGUUCGUUGGCGCAUUCGUUCGAGAAGCUAGAAGGUUUUCUUCCAUUGCUUCGCCAACGUUUUGCAGGUUACUGGAAGAUAAGAUCAUGGCGGGUGGGAAUUUCAUGCACAGGGUUAUGUCUUACCUUGUGAACGAGCUUAUCGUUAAUAGCCUUGCCAACAGUCCUUCAUUCCAGAGGUUUGCAGUGAGAACGUCAAAGAGGAUUGAGGAGGUUUCGAGUAAGGCUGCACAGAAGCAGCAAGAACUUGCUGGCCGUAUGAAGGAUCUUUCUAAAGAUUUCGAGUCUUUCAAAAAUCAGUGAUUCGGUCCGAUGGACACGGUAUUGCCCCAGUUUGCAUAUGAUCUGUAUUCUUCUUCCUUCUGUGGGAAUGACGAAAAUGAGUUUUGUAAUUUUAGGAUGAUAUCCUAAAGAAAGUCACGGCCGAAGAACCUCUGAAAAAAUAAAUUUAUGUUUAUAUUAGAUAAGCAAGUAGUUGGGUAUUUUUUGCUGACUUCAGUGUUGGUGUGGAUUGAGAGGGGGAGGGAACUGGGAUUUCCUUGACUGAAAACAGACGGGCACGUCUUUUCUCCUCCUCCUCCUCCUCCUCCUAGGGUGGUGCUACUUGCCUACAUCCUGUACUUAGCCAUGAUAUAUAAAUUUAACCGUUUUAUUUUUAAA